GAAUGCGAACAAUAUCUUCUAAGAUGGCUUAAGGAAUCUGACCGAGAGGUGUACAUUGGACCUUACUUCCAUCAGUAAGUGUUAUUUAACAAACAUACUUCAAAUGAUGUUUGGGUGUAUACGUAUCUAAUGUGCAUCACAUGCAGGGCACAUUGGCAACUCGUAGUUUUGUGUCCUAGGCAACAUGUUGUUGUUUGGUUCUGUUCCUUGCGUAGGAAACCUGAUAU
rnacentral:misc_RNA from 1 species